ensembl:lincRNA
UAAGGACUAUAAUUGAAAAAAUGAGGACCCCCACCCACCCCACCACACAGGAGCUUAGUCCUGCAUUGACUAUGCUGGGAAGGACCCUCUAGGAGUCCCAGUUAUAAAAGAAAGGGCAGUGGUGCAAGACCCCAAAAACCACAGUUUGAGGAAUCUCUAAGGAACCGAGAAUGUUCAGCCAAGAUGACAAGAGGGCAUGGUAGCCACCUUCUAGAAUGUGAAGGAAGACGGUGUACGAAUAUGUCAACCAUUCCACAGAUAAGCAGAUGGCAGAAUUAGAAGCAGUGAGUGAAGCUCAUAGAAUGCAGAUGUCUUAGUCCGGUUUCCUUAGAAAACAAACUUUAAGGCAAAGCUUAGGUCUCACUGUUUUAUUUGGGGGUGCCAUCUCAGAGAAAAAAAAUAGCAAAGGAAAAGAGAUGUGAAGGACUGUGAGUUUGGGAUUAGCAGAUGCAAACUAUUGUAUAUAGGAUAGAUAAACAACAAGGUCCUUCUGUAUAGCACUGGGACCUAUAUGGUUUAUCCCGUGAUAAGCCAUAAUAGAAACAAAUAUGAAAAAGAAUAUGUAUAUAUGUAUAACUGAGUCACUUUGAUAUACAGGAGAAAUUAACACAUUAUAAAUCAACUAAACUUCAUUUUUUUUUUUUUUUAAUGAGAGCUGUGACACAGGGAAGGAGGGAGAGCAAACAGAAGAUGGUGUGUUCCCAAGCUGCCCACAACUUUCAAAACACACAGCUGGUCCCACAGGAUGGUUCUGGAGAGGUGGUUCCAGUGCUGGAGGAGGAGAGACACCAAGAACCAGAACCCCUGUGGGUCCAGUGGAAUCAGGCCUGGGAACUGGAGCUGCCCCAGCUCCCACCAUAGAGGGUGUGGCAAAGGCUGUGCCAGAGCCCAGCUUUCACCCCAAGGAAGGCCAGAGACAGCUCUAAGGUGAGAAGACAAGGUAACCACGAUGGCAGAGACUUUAUAACUGCAGGAGCCACAGGAAAGGGGGCCUAGAAGCAAGGGCUGGGGCCAGCCAAGGCUGAGCAGAUAUGGACUGUCCCACAGAGGCGCCGGUACAGCAGGUCUUAGUAAGCCAUUCUUUUCUUUUUUUUUUUUACUUUAUUUUACUUUACAAUACUGUAUUGGUUUUGCCAUACAUUGACAUGAAUCUACCACGGGUGUACAUGCGUUCCCAAACAUGAACCCCCCUCCCACCUCCCACCCCAUAUCAUCUCUCUGGAUCAUCCCCGUGCACCAGCCCCAAGCAUCCUGUAUCCUGCAUCAAACAUAGACUGGCGAUUCAUUUCUUACAUGAUAGUAUAGAUGUUUCAAUGCCAUUCUCCCAAAUCAUCCCACCCUCUCCCUCAGAGUCCAAAAGUCCACUCUACACAUCUGUGUCUCUUUUGCUGUCUCGCAUACAGGGUCAUCAUUGCCAUCUUUCUAAAUUCCAUAUAUAUGUGUUAGUAUACUGUAUUGGUGUUUUCCUUUCUGGCUUACUUCACUCUGUAUAAUCGGCUCCAGUUUCAUCCAUCUCAUUAUUUUCUAAUACUCAAAAGCAUUCAAUAAUGGAGAAGGCCAGUACUUCUCAAACAUUAAGUGAACACAAACUCCUGAGGGUCUUGUCAAAUUACAAUUCUAAACCAGCAAGUCUGGGGUGAGGCCUGAGAUUUCGUGUUUCUAACUAACUCGAAGUGUCACCGUGCUGCUGCUCCCAAAAGACCACUUUGGAUAUUCAGUGGGUGGUCUGCCCCACAAAGCAGUGAGUUUCAUACUCCUGGAUGUUUUAGCGCAUCCAGCAUCAACUCACCAUCUGUCACAAAAAGUCAAGGAUUUCACAGAAGUUUCUGAGUGGGGUAGAAGACCAUUAUAGAACCUUCCAAAUCGAAGGUUUUGAUUUAUUUCCAAAACCUGAUAAAUACUAAACCAAUGAUGAAUGGUGAAAAUGGUUAACAAAGAAGACGUGCCUAGCUUUCAUCGUCUUCAUUGCUCAUUUUUCCAUGACUCCUUAUCAGACCAGAGGACUAUUAGGCCAGACUUUAAUGGAAAUUUGCAGUGUUGUCUAAUGACGAUUGACUGAGGACAGAUGUAUUAUAAUUUGGUCAGUAAUUGGUGGGAUGAAUGCUUUUCUCAUUAUCCCGUUUCUGAAAUCCCUCCUCAUCCACAAGAAGAAACCCAAGGAAU